rnacentral:rRNA from 1 species
GAUGAACGCUGGCGGCGUGCUUAACACAUGCAAGUCGAACGGAAAGGCUCCUGCUUGCAGGGGUACUCGAGUGGCGAACGGGUGAGUAACACGUGGGUGAUCUGCCCUGCACUUCGGGAUAAGCCUGGGAAACUGGGUCUAAUACCGGAUAGGACCACAUUUUGGAUGGUGUGGUGGAAAGUUUUUCGGCGUGGGAUGAGCUCGCGGCCUAUCAGCUUGUUGGUGGGGUAAUGGCCUACCAAGGCGUCGACGGGUAGCCGGCCUGAGAGGGUGUACGGCCACAUUGGGACUGAGAUACGGCCCAGACUCCUACGGGAGGCAGCAGUGGGGAAUAUUGCACAAUGGGCGCAAGCCUGAUGCAGCGACGCCGCGUGGGGGAUGACGGCCUUCGGGUUGUAAACUCCUUUCGCUAGGGACGAAGCGCAAGUGACGGUACCUGGAGAAGAAGCACCGGCUAACUACGUG